rnacentral:rRNA from 2 species
AACUUUCAACAAUGGAUCUCUUGGCUCUCGCAUCGAUGAAGAACGCAGCGAAAUGCGAUAAGUAAUGUGAAUUGCAGAAUUCAGUGAAUCAUCGAAUCUUUGAACGCACCUUGCACUCCUGGGUAACCUAUGGAGUAUGCCUGUUUGAGUGUCA